GCUGUAGCUCAGUGGUAGAGCAAAUUAUCUGCAUGCAGAAGGUCCUAGGUUCAAACCCUGGCAUCUCCA